rnacentral:rRNA from 2 species
GGCUUAAUGAAUAUAAUUUUAAGUCAAUCUGCCCAAUGAUUUUUUAAAUUUAAUGGCUGCAGUAUAAUUGACUGUACAAAGGUAGCAUAAUCAAUUGUUUCUUAAUUAGAAACUGGAAUGAAAGAAUUAAUGAGAUAUAUACUGUCUCAUAUAUAUUUAAUUAAAUUAAAAUUUUAGUAAAAAUGCUAAAAUAAUUUUAUGGGACGAUAAGACCCUAUAGAAUUUUAUAUUAAUAUAUAAAUUUAAUUUAUUUUGUAAAUUAAUAUUUAAUUGGGAGGAUUAAUAAAUUUAUUGAACUUUAUUUUAAAUAUUAACUUUGAUUUAAGAAUUUUUUAUGAUCUUAUUUUAUAAAUUAUAAGAAAAAAUUACCUUAGGGAUAACAGCGUAAUAUCUUUUUAAAGAUCAAAUUGAUAAAGAUGAUUGCGACCUCGAUGUUGAAUUAAGAUAAAUUUUAAAUGGAGAAAUUUAAUAAUUAAGUCUGUUCGACUUUUAAAAUCUUACAUGAUUUGAGUUCAAAUCGACGUGAGU